rnacentral:misc_RNA from 1 species
CCCUGGCUGGAGCAUAGGAA